rnacentral:lncRNA from 1 species
GUUUAACAUUAAUAGCACAUUAAUAUAAGGUGGAAUUUUAGCUUAUCUGGUAUAAAAUCAUACAGGAAGCACUCUCAAAUAUAAAAUGGUGUUUGGCUUCCUUUGAGCUAUAUUUGUAUAAAUAUAUUCAUAUAUGUUUCAAAGUUAUGGGAAACUCCUAUAAUUCUGAUACAUCUUCAUGGACAUUAUCAGUAAAAAUUAUAAUUGUUACAUUAAAAUUAUUGUGUGUCACAGAGAUAAAAGGUAUCUUUGUUGAUUGCAUCUUUAACUAUGUCUACCUUAAAACACUUUGUCAUCCAUAAACAAUUGUUGUCUUGUUUUGUUCCUCUUUAGAAGAUGGUUUUGUAAUCAGCUAUAAACCUCUAACAGGUGCUCUGAAAUGCAGGUUUCUGAUAAUUUUAGAGAGUGUAACAUCAGAAUAGAAGAAAACAUUCAGAACACUUGAAAAGCUAAAAUGUUCACUAAUAUCAAGCAGGAUAAGAAUUAACUGUAUUAACUAAACUAAAAGGAGGAUUGAGUAAUCUCUUUAAAGUUUUGCUUAGAACAUUGUUAAUUCUUUGUUUUGCUUUUCAAAGUCAAAUAAAUUUUUCUUUUGAGCUAUUAACAGCUUGUAACAAUUUAGUAUACUCCCGUAAACAAAAUUUGGAGCAUACUUGUUUCUCUAUACCUGAUUUUCUACAGAAUUUGGAAACUAUCUGUUGAGUAUUCUUAAGUUAUGGCAGUAUGGUUAUUUCCAUAAGUGCAAUAAGAAUCUGUUUUCUUUUGUAACAGGGCACAUUUAGAAAAGCUGGUUAUUUUUACCAACACUUUAACUGGAAUUAUAUGCUUUCCUUUAAGGAAUCAAACUUGACUUACAAAGCAAAAAGGCCCUUGGAAAACUCACUGCAUAUUUUGUGUACACAGUCCCUGUACAUGGUUUCUGAUCUGUGAGUCAAGGACACUUGUCUUGAGCUAGCUACACCCUUUCACAACUCAGUAAGGAGUGAAGACUGAUUUUGCAGAGCCAAUAAAGGCCCCUGGGGAAACUGGCCUCAUAUCUUGUCAUGAAGAUUUUAUACAGGUUUCCUAACCUGUGGUGAGUAAAGAAUGUCCCUCUCUAACAGGUCUACCCCAUGCUCUUGGAACCUCAAGAAGAGACAAGUUUACCCAACUCACAGGUAUUUGAGGAUACAAACCCAUGACUGGGCUUGGCUUUAAAAAUUCCUAUCUGAAAUUUCUAGUGGAAUAAAGUCUCAUCAAAUCUAAUCUAAAAGGCCUGUGUAAAAAUAAUUAUUCUUGCUGCACUUUAUGCAAACAAUCAGACCAAGCUUAAAACUAAAGUUUAUUUUGCAAACAACUCAGUCCUAUCAUAAUUUUUUUAACAGAACAAAGACUGAAAAUAAAUAAAUUAUAUUCAAAACUUAUCACACCUCUGUCAUUAACUUCUAGUCUCAUUUGUUGUUUUUAAGUUCUGAGCUGCAUUUUAAAAUAAUCCUGUCUAUUUCUGUAACCAGCCAGUGAUUUCUGGCUGCAGCUCAGAGGAAAUAGAAAGGGAUGGGUAACGUGAAAAUCUGGUAAAAUAUUCUAGUUCUAGGUAAUUAUUCUACAAAUUCU